rnacentral:snoRNA from 1 species
UUCUCUGAUGAUGAUUAAACAAAACGACCUUUUAUCUCCUGAGAAUUAUUUCUGUGUUGAAUCCAUUUGGAGACCUGAACUGAAGAGAA